rnacentral:rRNA from 1 species
CCUACGGGAGGCAGCAGUGGGGAAUAUUGGACAAUGGGCGAAAGCCUGAUCCAGCCAUGCCGCGUGUGUGAAGAAGGUCUUCGGAUUGUAAAGCACUUUAAGUUGGGAGGAAGGGUUGUACGCUAAUACCGUGCAAUUUUGACGUUACCAACAGAAUAAGCACCGGCUAACUCUGUGCCAGCAGCCGCGGUAAUACAGAGGGUGCAAGCGUUAAUCGGAAUUACUGGGCGUAAAGCGCGCGUAGGUGGUUCGUUAAGUUGGAUGUGAAAGCCCCGGGCUCAACCUGGGAACUGCAUCCAAAACUGGCGAGCUAGAGUAGGGCAGAGGGUGGUGGAAUUUCCUGUGUAGCGGUGAAAUGCGUAGAUAUAGGAAGGAACACCAGUGGCGAAGGCGACCACCUGGGCUCAUACUGACACUGAGGUGCGAAAGCGUGGGGAGCA